CCCCACUAUGCCCAACCGUAAACUUUUACUUACACCUAAACCGCCUGGGAACUACGAGCAAAGCUUAAAACCCAAAGGACUUGACGGUACCCCACAUCCACCUAGAGGAGCCUGUCCUAUAAUCGAUAAUCCCCGUUCAACCUCACCCCUCUUAGCCCAUCAGCCUGUAUACCUCCGUCCCCAGCUUACCUCGUGAGUGUAACCUAGUAAGCCCAACGCCCAUACGCCAAUACGUCAGGUCAAGGUGCAGUAAAUGGAGGGGGAAGAGAUGGGCUACACUCUCUAAUAUAGAAAACACGAAAGACUAUCUAUGAAACCUAGUCAGAAGGCGGAUUUAGAAGUAAAAAGAAAACAGCAUGUUCUUUUUAACCCGGCACUGGGGUGUGUACACACCGCCCG
rnacentral:rRNA from 1 species